AUGGUCCGCCUGCGCAGCUCCGACGGCCAGGAGCUCGAGGUGAUGGAGGAGGCGAUCGCCGCCGCGUCUAAGACGAUCAAGGACGCGCUGGAGAAGGGCGGCGCCGCCGGCGACGCCAUCCCGGUCCCCGACGUCACCGGCCGAGUCCUCUCCCGCGUCCUCGAGUACGUCAACAGGCACUUCUCCGACCCGGCCGCCGCCGCCGACCCCUUCGACUACAUCCCCAACUUCGACGACCCGCUCAAGGCGUUCGACGACGCCUUCGUCCAGGUCGACCAGGACACGCUCUUCGACCUCAUCGACGCGGCCGAGUGCCUCGAAAUUGAGGGGCUGAUGGACCUGACGUGCAAGACGGUGGCGGACCAGAUGAGGGGCAAGACCAUAGAGGAGAUCCGCAAGAAGUUCCACGUCGUCAACGACUACACCGCCUGGGCCUUCGAGUAG
rnacentral:rRNA from 1 species